UACGGGGGAUGCAAGCGUUAUCCGGAUUUAUUGGGUUUAAAGGGUGCGUAGGCGGACGGUCAAGUCAGCGGUAAAAAUGCGGUGCUCAACGCCGUACAGCCGUUGAAACUGGCGGGCUGGAGUUGGAGAGAAGUACGCGGAAUGCGCGGUGUAGCGGUGAAAUGCUUAGAUAUCGCGCAGAACCCCGAUUGCGAAGGCAGCGUACCGGCUCCACACUGACGCUGAGGCACGAAAGCGUGGGUAGCAAACAGG
rnacentral:rRNA from 1 species